rnacentral:rRNA from 1 species
UACGAAGGGGGCUAGCGUUGCUCGGAAUCACUGGGCGUAAAGGGCGCGUAGGCGGCCAUUCAAGUCAGGGGUGAAAGCCUGUGGCUCAACCACAGAAUUGCCUUUGAUACUGAAGAUCUUGAGUCCGGGAGAGGUGAGUGGAACUGCGAGUGUAGAGGUGAAAUUCGUAGAUAUUCGCAAGAACACCAGUGGCGAAGGCGGCUCACUGGCCCGGUACUGACGCUGAGGUGCGAAAGCGUGGGGAGCAAACAGG